rnacentral:siRNA from 1 species
AGCGUUGGACCACUAUGGGCUGAG